rnacentral:misc_RNA from 1 species
GAAAUGCGAUAAGUAAUGUGAAUUGCAGAAUUCAGUGAAUCAUCGAAUCUUUGAACGCACAUUGCGCCCGGCAGCAAUCUGCCGGGCAUGCCUGUCCGAGCGUCAUUUCUGCCCUCGAGCGCGGUUCGGCCCCUAGCGGGCCGGCCGCCGCCCGGUGUUGGGGCGCUGCGGGCCCUCGUGCCCGCAGGCCCUGAAAUGAAGUGGCGGUCCCGCCGCGGCGCCCCCUGCGUAGUAGUAAAGCACCUCGCAUCGGGUCCCGGCGGAGGCCAGCCGUCGAACCUCGCUUUUGAUGGUUUGACCUCGGAUCAGGUAGGGUUACCCGCUGAACUUAAGC